rnacentral:rRNA from 1 species
CAGCAGCCGCGGGAAUACGGAGGGUGCAAGCGUUAAUCGGAAUUACUGGGCGUAAAGCGCACGCAGGCGGUCUGACAAGUCAGAUGUGAAAUCCCCGGGCUUAACCUGGGAACUGCAUUUGAAACUGUCAGGCUGGAGUCUUGUAGAGGGGGGUGGAAUUCCAGGUGUAGCGGUGAAAUGCGUAGAGAUCUGGAGGAAUACCGGUGGCGAAGGCGGCCCCCUGGACAAAGACUGACGCUCAGGUGCGAAAGCGUGGGGAGCAAACAGGAUUAGAUACCCCAGUAGUCCCUGUCUCUUAUAC